ACGAAAAUAAUUUUAUGGUUGGGUCACAACAUGAGGAACUGUACUUAAAGGGCCAGAAGGUUGAGAACCGCUGUUGGAGCAAGCUUGCGGUGUGUGGGGUUGUGUGUGUGUGUGUAUGUAAUUGGGUGAUUCACUGAGUCAGAUGGUGGCGAUACCAGUCACAUGAGCUGUCAGUGGGAAAAAGUGAUGAGCAGCCCGUUAGUUCGAUCUCUUCGAGAUAGUGGGACCUCGUGGGCUGCCUGGGCGAGGAGAGACCUCAGCCCAGGAAACUUUAAGCGGGGUUGCUAGGUUCCCUACACAUUCCAGAACCGUUGUAUUUGUGACACUUUCCCCAGAGGGGGUACCCUUGGGGGUGCAUGUUUUACCAGCUGAAGGUGAGUGGUUCAAUGUGGUGAUGCAUGCAUGCAAGAGUUACUUGCUUUUUCUCAAAAAACUUCAGUCGUGCACGCUAAUGAAAGUCUCUCUCUCAUACAUGUUACAGAACAGUUGAUCGUGCCACACUCAUUGCACUUUUCGUUAAGAAGUUUACCCUUGAGCCCUAACCGGUUUGGCUCAGUGGAUAGAGCAUCAGCCUGCGGACUCAAGGGUCCCAGGUUCGAUUCCCGUCAAGGGCAUGUACCCAGUAGGGAGUGUGCAGGAGGCAGCUGAUCGAUGUUUCUCUCUCAUCGAUGUUUCUAACUCUCUAUCCCUCUCCCUUCCUCUCUGUAAAAAAAAUCAAUAAAAUAUAUUUAAAAAAAAAAAAAAAGACAUUUACCCUUGAAAUACUCAUCAUCAUUGCACAAUGAAUCCAGCCUUGGAUUUGGGAUCUCUUGGCCCUUGAAUGUAGGGUUUCCUGUAGUGAUGAUGCAUUCUCACAGAUAUAAAAUCCUGAUGGUUUCUGUGCUAUGAUUAAUAACUACAUUUUACCUUCAAAUUUUAUUCUUAGAAUGUAAUUUCCCAGAUUCGGGAAGGUUAACGUAUAUUGUAGCAGAAGUACGUCAGAAUAGAAAAGAACCAGCUUCUAAUCCUAGCUUUUGCCACUUGACUAACAACAAAAACACAAAUAGGUAAUCUCCUCACCUGAGCCUGUCUUAUUUGGAAAUGGUAGUGGUAUCAUCCUUGAAAGAUUAAAGCACUGUACAGUGUGCGGGAAACGUAGCAUUGCUUUGGAGUCAGGAAGCCGUGGGUUCCAUUUACUGUGUAAUUCCUAGACAGCUAAGUUUUCUAGACUCGGUUUCCGUCCAAUUAUACACGCGGAGCUGGAUUUGAUGCCUCGGACUUGAGAUGUAGUGGGCUAACCCUAAUAUUAUUUUGCUGAGUAGUACGACUCCUAGGGAACCUGUAAUUUGGGGGCCUAGUUAUCAGUCACCUUAAAGCAGUGGUUCUCAACCUUCCUGACACCGCGACCCUUUCAUACAGUUCCUCAUGUUGUGGUGACCCCCAACCAUAAAAUUAUUUUCGUUGUUACUUCAGUAAUGUAAAUAUCUGAUCUGCAGGAUGUAUUUAAUGGGGUCGCGACCCACAGGUUGAGAACCGCUGCCUUAAAGGAAAAAAGCUACAUUGAUAGGUAUGGUUCACUCCCUUCCUAAGUUAGGCUUUCAAAGCAAUAUCCAAGCACUUAAAAGGAGAAAUAGCAGCAUAGCAAUCAAAAACGACCUUUCUGCGUGAAUCUUUACAUAGUUAGCAAUGAAGAGGCCAUUAGGAUGUGAGACGCCUCAUUGGGGGAGGGGAAGGAAAGGGUCCUAACGCAGUCAGGAAUGAUGGGAAGAGGGGUAAGGGGCUGCUGCCUUUUUUUUAAUGUGAAAUUUUCCAGUGUAAUAUUUGGCAUUUUUAUCAGCCUUGCAAGGACUUUGGAUAGAUCACUAUUCUGUGGAUUUGUACUAGUAUCUCACAAGAAUUAGCAAUAGCAUUACACUUGUUUAUCUUCCUCUGUGGGAUAAAUAUGACUCUUGAAAGCAUGGGUAUCUUUUUCCAUUGAAAACAACUUGGGCUGGGAAUCAGGAACCCUGUCUCUCGUUCCAUCCCUGCGGCAGUGGUCACAGGCCAGUGACUGAACCAUCAUGUCAAUUACCUAUCCUUUCAGUCUUCUGAAGGUAAAAGUCAAAUAAUAGAUGAAAAUGCAGAUACAUGUAAGUUAGCAUUUCCCCAUCUCAACCGCAGACAUUGUGGAGCCCUUGUUAUGGAUAAAGCUUUAUAUUAGGUCACCACUGUGAAUGAAUAGUCCAUUCCCUUUUGCUGUUAAGGAACUGAGAGGCCAGAGGAGGAGUUAAAGACCCAGUGACAGCUGCAGUCCACUGUGGGGGCUCCGGGAGCAAAUGCCAUUCCAGAGGGGGCAGGCCGGGAGUCACUCAAGGGCAAGGCUUGUGUGUCUGGGAAGGGCAGGAGACACACUGAAGGUUUUCAGCGGAGGAGCAAAGUUGCCCAAUUCUAGUUUAGCAAGAUUAAGCUGG